UGCGUAGGCGGCGUCGUAAGUCAGAAGUGAAAGCUCACAGCUUAACUGUGAAAUUGCUUUCGAUACUGCGGUGCUUGAAUUAGGUUGAGGUUAGCGGAAUGUGACAUGUAGCGGUGAAAUGCAUAGAUAUGUCAUAGAACACCAAUUGCGAAGGCAGCUGGCUAGGCCUAUAUUGACGCUCAGGCACGAAAGCGUGGGGAGCGAACAGGAUUAGAUACCCUGGUAGUCC
rnacentral:rRNA from 1 species